rnacentral:rRNA from 1 species
UACGGAGGGUGCAAGCGUUGCUCGGAAUUAUUGGGCGUAAAGCGUAUGUAGGCGGUUUCCUAAGUCUGAUGUGAAAUCCCGGGGCUUAACUCCGGAACUGCAUUGGAUACUGGGAGGCUAGAGGACAGUAGAGGAUGGUGGAAUUCCUGGUGUAGGGGUGAAAUCCGUAGAUAUCAGGAGGAACAUCAGUGGCGAAGGCGGCCAUCUGGACUGUACCUGACGCUGAGAUACGAAAGCGUGGGGAGCAAACAGG